rnacentral:rRNA from 1 species
AUUGAACGCUGGCGGCAUGCUUUACACAUGCAAGUCGAACGGUAACAGGCCGCAAGGUGCUGACGAGUGGCGAACGGGUGAGUAAUGUAUCGGAACGUGCCCAGUCGUGGGGGAUAACGCAGCGAAAGCUGUGCUAAUACCGCAUACGAUCUAUGGAUGAAAGCGGGGGACCGUAAGGCCUCGCGCGAUUGGAGCGGCCGAUAUCAGAUUAGGUAGUUGGUGGGGUAAAGGCUCACCAAGCCGACGAUCUGUAGCUGGUCUGAGAGGACGACCGGCCACACUGGGACUGAGACACGGCCCAGACUCCUACGGGAGGCAGCAGUGGGGAAUUUUGGACAAUGGGCGCAAGCCUGAUCCAGCAAUGCCGCGUGCAGGACGAAGGCCUUCGGGUUGUAAACUGCUUUUGUACGGAGCGAAACGGCUCUCUCUAAUAAAGGGAGCUAAUGACGGUACCGUAAGAAUAAGCACCGGCUAACUACGUGCCAGCCGCCGCCGUAACAC